UUCGCCCUUAGAGUUUGAUCCUGGCUCAGGACGAACGCUGGCGGCGCGCCUAACACAUGCAAGUCGAACGAGCGAGAGAGAGCUUGCUUUUCUCGAGCGAGUGGCGAACGGGUGAGUAACGCGUGAGGAACCUGUCUCAAAGAGGGGGACAACAGUUGGAAACGACUGCUAAUACCGCAUAAGCCCACGGCUCGGCAUCGAGCAGAGGGAAAAGGAGCAAUCCGCUUUGAGAUGGCCUCGCGUCCGAUUAGCUAGUUGGUGAGGUAAUGGCCCACCAAGGCGACGAUCGGUAGCCGGACUGAGAGGUUGAACGGCCACAUUGGGACUGAGACACGGCCCAGACUCCUACGGGAGGCAGCAGUGGGGAAUAUUGCACAAUGGGGGAAACCCUGAUGCAGCGACGCCGCGUGGAGGAAGAAGGUCUUCGGAUUGUAAACUCCUGUUGUUGAGGAAGAUAAUGACGGUACUCAACAAGGAAGUGACGGCUAACUACGUGCCAGCAGCCGCGGUAAAACGUAGGUCACAAGCGUUGUCCGGAAUUACUGGGUGUAAAGGGAGCGCAGGCGGGAAGACAAGUUGGAAGUGAAAUCCAUGGGCUCAACCCAUGAACUGCUUUCAAAACUGUUUUUCUUGAGUAGUGCAGAGGUAGGCGGAAUUCCCGGUGUAGCGGUGGAAUGCGUAGAUAUCGGGAGGAACACCAGUGGCGAAGGCGGCCUACUGGGCAUCAACUGACGCUGAGGCUCGAAAGUGUGGGUAGCAAACAGGAUUAGAUACCCUGGUAGUCCACACUGUAAACGAUGAUUACUAGGUGUUGGAGGAUUGACCCCUUCAGUGCCGCAGUUAACACAAUAAGUAAUCCACCUGGGGAGUACGACCGCAAGGUUGAAACUCAAAGGAAUUGACGGGGGCCCGCACAAGCAGUGGAGUAUGUGGUUUAAUUCGACGCAACGCGAAGAACCUUACCAAGUCUUGACAUCCUGCGACGGUGCUGGAAACAGUACUUUCCUUCGGGACGCAGAGACAGGUGGUGCAUGGUUGUCGUCAGCUCGUGUCGUGAGAUGUUGGGUUAAGUCCCGCAACGAGCGCAACCCUUAUGGUCAGUUACUACGCAAGAGGACUCUGGCCAGACUGCCGCUGACAAAACGGAGGAAGGUGGGGAUGACGUCAAAUCAUCAUGCCCUUUAUGACUUGGGCUACACACGUACUACAAUGGCGUUAAACAAAGAGAAGCAAGACCGCGAGGUGGAGCAAAACUCAGAAACAACGUCCCAGUUCGGACUGCAGGCUGCAACUCGCCUGCACGAAGUCGGAAUUGCUAGUAAUCGCAGAUCAGCAUGCUGCGGUGAAUACGUUCCCGGGCCUUGUACACACCGCCCGUCA
rnacentral:rRNA from 1 species